CACCAUGAUGCAUGCAUAUUUUUCUCAAAAUAGUAUUUGCUACUUCAGAGCCCUCGGGCCAUGAGACCAACAUCACACGCACUGAUU
rnacentral:snoRNA from 1 species